GAGUUUGAUCAUGGCUCAGGAUGAACGCUAGCGACAGGCCUAACACAUGCAAGUCGAGGGGCAGCAUAAAGGUAGCAAUACUUUGGUGGCGACCGGCGCACGGGUGAGUAACACGUAUGCAACCUACCUGUAAGCGGGGAAUAACCCGGAGAAAUUCGGACUAAUACCGCAUAAAACUGAGUUACUGCAUGGUAAUUCAUUUAAACAUUUAUGGCUUACAGAUGGGCAUGCGUAUGAUUAGCUAGUUGGUGAGGUAACGGCUCACCAAGGCAACGAUCAUUAGGGGUUCUGAGAGGAAGGUCCCCCACACUGGUACUGAGACACGGACCAGACUCCUACGGGAGGCAGCAGUGAGGAAUAUUGGUCAAUGGGCGAGAGCCUGAACCAGCCAAGUCGCGUGGAGGAAGAAGGUUCUAUGGAUUGUAAACUUCUUUUGUAAGGGAAUAAAAAGAGUUACGUGUAACUUAUUGUAUGUACUUUACGAAUAAGGAUCGGCUAACUCCGUGCCAGCAGCCGCGGUAAUACGGAGGAUCCAAGCGUUAUCCGGAUUUAUUGGGUUUAAAGGGUGCGUAGGCGGACCCUUAAGUCAGUGGUGAAAGUUUGCGGCUCAACCGUAAAAUUGCCAUUGAAACUGAGGGUCUUAAGUGUAAAUGAGGUAGGCGGAACGUGUUGUGUAGCGGUGAAAUGCUUAGAUAUAACACAGAACACCAAUUGCGAAGGCAGCUUACUGGGAUACAACUGACGCUGAGGCACGAAAGCGUGGGGAUCAAACAGGAUUAGAUACCCUGGUAGUCCACGCAGUAAACGAUGAAUACUAGCUGUAUGCGAUAUACUGUAUGCGGCACAGCGAAAGCGUUAAGUAUUCCACCUGGGGAGUACGUUCGCAAGAAUGAAACUCAAAGGAAUUGAC
rnacentral:rRNA from 1 species